UAAAUAGCCAGGUUGACUUUUGUCGGCCGCCGGCUUCUUAGAGGGACUUUUGGCUCAAGCCAAUGGAAGUACGAGGCAAUAACAGGUUAACCUUUUUUGAGUUAUAACGCUCAUCACAGGCCUGCAACAGUGAACCUCGUUAAAGAAAUCACUAGUUGAGCGUCUUUAUCCCUCUGGUGGAAGUCCACCAACUGUCGGGGAGGGAGCAGCCACGCCAGUGGAUGGUGACGCCAGCGAGACAAUCUGGUUCAGGGGACGCUUACCUUCUAAGGGAGACUGCCGACCCUGAGGCGAGCCGAAGUAACGCCCGGCCGCUGCAACGCACGCAAAGAUGUCGGUUGUGCACCUGCAUAGCUUAAGGUACGUGCUAAUCCCCCAGGAAACUGGGC
rnacentral:rRNA from 1 species